rnacentral:lncRNA from 1 species
CAUUCCCUCUCAGAUUCCAACCACGAUACUGAAAAAACCAAAGCCCAGUCUAGCCAUUUAAAGAGAACACAUGGAAGUAAACCAAGAACCCAGCCAAUAUCCCCAGAAAUUGACAAGAUGAUCCUAAAAUUUAUCUAGAAACACACGGGACACAGAACAGCCAAGAUAAUUUUGAAAAAUAAGAACGAAGGACUCAUACUUCUUGAUUUCAAAACUGACUACAAAGCUACAGUAAUUAACACUGUGUGAGACUGGCAUAAGGAUAUGCAUAUAGAUUGAUAAAAUAAAACUGAGAAGCCCUUGAGAAAUAAACCUUAUAUAUAUGGUCAA